AAUGCUUUUGAUGCUGGGCACAAAAGAGGAUUGACCUCUUGUGCCACAAAUUAAUUUAUCUGCAAACUAUGUUCCAACCUGACUGCAUGCAUAAGUCAAGGUUACUUGAGGAGCGGUCUCGCCCCAUUGAGGCUGGCCCACUCCACCCACGCCAGCAGAGGAGGCAAGCUGCAGGCCCCGUCAGUCAAGGAAUGUUGGCUGGUGGAGUCUAGGAGAAGGAACCUUCUCUGCUAUGGCUUCUCCCCCUUGGAACAUCUUAGCUCUUGAGGGCUUCAGGAACAGAAGAAGAAGGGACUGAAGGCACUUCAAAGAAGGGAAGUUCAGAAGAGGAAGAGGUGGAGGAAGAUGAAGAAGAUUAAUCCUACUAAUCCAGACAAGUGUUUAUUGUUAAAUAUUUUAUUAUUAAAUACAUCAUUUGUCAAUCA